GGAUAUACAUAAAGAAUAUAUUGAUUUUUAUCUUGACAGCCAGCUGACUUGAUCUGGCUGCCCUUACUCUGUAGACACAUUGGACAGGAUGUUGCUGUAAAUAAGGAAGUUUGAUGGGUAGUAAAAUAUCCGUGUCUGAGUUUAAAUAUACUUAAUUGCAAUGGGGUGAAAAAAUUAGGGAGCAGGGGAAUGAAUAUUCAAGGAUAGCAGCAGUUGUCCUAUGUUAGCUGAAUGAGAUCCAGAGUUUUCUGCAGCUCUAACUGCCCCUGUUCUUAUCACAGAAGUAACAUCUGUGCAUCUAUUUAGGUUAUUUAUGAUGCUUGUCUGGUUGAUAAUUAGGUUUGUGUCUGCUGUAGCCGUUUAGAUGGUAUUUUCCCAGGAUCUCCCCUAGCAGGUGGCUGGUUUUCAGCUUUUGGAAUAGAGUGUGGUAGAAGGGUCCUUCAGAAGGGUCCCUUCCUGCCCUUCAGGAGAUGUCAGUGGUUUGAUGCUGCAGUCAGCUCAGUCCACUGAGCUGUGUUUUCCUGUCAUCUAAGUGGACUGCAUUUUCUUUUGGAAGCAGUUCAUUCACAAUUGCCUUGGGUGGAGGCUUUUCCGUUGUGAGCUGCAUGAUACUGCUGUUUUCAUAGUAGUGGCAGAGCAAAGACUUGGAAGUUUCAUAUAUAAGCUAUUGUUAAGCUCUGGGGAGCUCUUCAGAACUGUUAAUUGCUGUAAUUGCAGUUUCUGCCAGCGUCUCUUUGGUAUUUUUGGUCCAACCUCAGGCUGAAGGGAAAGUGCUUCAUUCCCUAACCCAGGAGACGUGACAAAACUGAUAUUGGAAGCUAUGGGACGUAACAGCUCUCCGUCACUUGUGGCUUGAUGCAGUUCACACAAACUCAUCUGGUCUUUGGCUGCAAGGUGAAGCUUCUUUGUGGUCCCAGCAGUGAUUGCACCGCCGCCACCACCAACACACACACCCCCCGCCCCGGUAUUCGCAGCAAUGUGUGCCCACCAGGUAAGAAACCCAAGUAAUCAUCGGAUUAUAGGAAAAUCUUCGGGGUAUUUCAUUUUUGUGGGAAACAUUGAGAAGCACACUUGCCCUGUCAUUUCAUCCUCCACAACGGCCUGUGCUAAGCUGCUGUCUGUCUGAAGGAGCGGGGCUGGACAGGACUCUAGCGAGACGGUUUCUGUUGCUCCUCGCUCAGCUGGAGGCAUUGGCGUUGAGCAACCCUGGGCACACCUUUCCCCCCAACCCAAACACGCUGCCUGCGCACGUGUUGGCCGGCACCUGGCAGCAAAGCCCUGCCACCGGCCCCACGGCCCCGUGAGGCAGGUCCCAGCAGAAGCAGGAGCAGCAGCGCUGAGCCCCUGCCUGGCUUACAGAGCUGGGGAUGUAAAUCCCGCAGCUGCUCCAGCGCUAAGGCAAUCAAACCCUUAACGCUGGGGCUGGAUCCAAUGCCAAGCGCCUGCUGGAGUGGUGCUAGGCACGGUGUUAGCUGGAAGCGGGAGCUCCCUUUGCAGUGAAACGUGGGUACUCAUGUGUGUCUGUGUGUGCACUUGCAUGCCCAAGACAUCAAACUGGUUCAUUUAUAUUUGGAUUACCACCUAUUUUCAUGCAUUUAAACAUUGCCAGCUGUGUUAAUGAUGGCUGCAGCACAUCAGCCGCUUCUGUUCUCUCCCAGACUUGUUAUUUUUCCCACUGGUUAUUCUGUCUAUUUCGGGAGAGUGCUACAGUGCAGCUUCUUUCACACAAACAGUCUCAGGUAGGAAAUUGUAGUGCAGAGUAUAUAUUUUUUUAACAUGACUUACUUUGGACUGGCAGGAUCCCGGGUUCGUUAGAGCAGAGAGACACCUCAUAGCUGGGAUCAGCUAGCUACACAGGCUGAGGCAGACUGGAAAAAAGAGUUCAUUAUCAUCUUUGGGAGAUUUAAAAAACAUAUGCCUCCCCUCCAAUACUCCAGACUAUUGAGCUUUAUCAGUUUCACUGCAAACUACAAAUGCUUUUUGUGUAAUGACAGCUCUUUAAUUAGAACUUGGAAGCAAUAGCAUCUGCUGAUUAUAGCAUGGUCCAGCAUGUUCAUAUUCCUCAGUUUUAUUUCCAGCUCUGCAACUAAAUUGCUGCAUGCCUGAAGGCAAGUGACUUCACCUCUGUGUCUUUACUUCCACAGACGGGAUUAAAACCUCCACUGGAGAUCCCUGGACAGAACCUGAUCAAAUGGCACAGCCUUGGUUUGCUUUUCCAUCCUGUGCAUGUUUGGGAACCCAUGUAUCAGUCCAGUGGAUGAGGGUUUGGGAUUUGCCUUGUCCAGGCAUACCCUGUGAGAUGCUCCAGG